rnacentral:snoRNA from 1 species
CAAAUAGAUGAGUUUUGGAGGAGACGUACUCUCCCAAGGUUACAGAAUUGAUAAAGGAGAUGCUGAUAAACUGAAAACUAGUACGGUUUUUACUGAAUUG